UUUUUACUCCCCCCGUCCCAAAAUUCCUGUCUUAAAUUUGUCUAAAUAUGGAUGUGUCUAGUUACAUUUUAGUGUUAGAUACAUCCGUAUCUAAACAAAUGUAAGACAAGAUUUUUGGGACGGAGGGAAUACUAC
rfam:Triticum aestivum genome assembly, contig: Triticum_aestivum_CS42_TGACv1_scaffold_579009_7BL